rnacentral:misc_RNA from 1 species
GGCGAUGGCGAUGGCGAUGGCGAUGGAAAUGGCAAUGGCUGAUGAGCCGCCCCUUGGCAGCAUUUGAAACACGAUGAUCAUCAUCCAUUUGAAAUUGGAUUUUAUGGCUCACCAUUUCAAAGCGGACACAAAAAGAAUAGCCGGAUAAGCGCAGCAACCGGCACUUGCCCCCCACAAAUACACCCCAGUUUCCAAACUCGACACCAGAUUGCUUUACACACACACACUCACACACACUAACACUCACAGAGUGGAGAUGCAAGUAUCAGGAGCACAGCAAUGCCAACAAUGAGAAUUCGGAAAACAGCAGAAUGGCAACAUUUGACUUUUAAGGACACAGCUGGUUUGCCAGAGAGGUACUCGACGCUGUCACAGGACACAUCCAAAAUGUUGGCCCGACGCUUUGACGCUUUUAAUUAACUUAUUCGCUUUAAUUACUGUUGAACUGCAUAGUUUUGUAAAGAGUAUGUUUAUAUAAUUUGUUAUCAAAUCAACAAUAUCCUUGAACAAAUCGUUUUCCAAAUAAGUUUUUACUCGCUAAGCUUUGCUUGUAAGUCUAUUAUAGUUGUAGCUUGCAGAGCAUUUACGAUUUCCCUCUCUCCUUUGAAAAAAAUUAAACAGAAACCUAUGCCAAACUAUAGUUUUGUUAAGAUGAAAACCUAAAGAUAACAAAAUAUAUCAUUUGUAAAAAUAUCCAGCUACCUUUUGUAUUAGUUAUCGAUAUCUUCAAAGAAUACAGCUAGUAGCUAACUAAUAUCGAAUAGUGCCUUCAGCACUGUUAUGUAAUUCUUUAGCUUCCAUGUAGCAAUGUGUAUUCGUCACUAUGCAGAUCGGCUGUAAAUAUAUUUAAGCUGUAUAUCACGCCAAAGCAUAUAGUCAAAUAUAACAUAAUAUUGUUGACUCAGGUACAUACAAUCAUACAUGUACGUAUAUCAAAGUAAAUGACAAAUAUAAGAACGCAAAAA